AGAUGGUCUGCAAGCCCAACCCAGUUUCGUGCUCUAUUCAGGCCCGGCCUUCUUGUUGUCAGCUUCGAUUCCAAGGAUACCGGCGAAGUCGGAUACCAGAACAACAAUCUUCAGCCUGACUGUUCCUGUGACGAUGUCGCUGCCGGAAAGCGUAUCGCUGCGUUCUUUUGAACGAAUUUCUCCAACUUAUGCUUCUGUUUCUUCCUCCUCCUUAGGUUCUUCGAGACCUUUGAGGAGUUGUACAAGUGUAGCGACUCGGACGAUGAAGUUCAGAAAUGGAGGUGCUCUGAGGUUGUGCUGCUCGGAUUCAAAUCAUUCUGCUCCUCUGCCUUCCACGACUGCGACAAGCACGGGCUCUGCUCCGCCGGUUCUGAAGAAGAAAAAGAGAUACAGGAGAGAGUAUCCUGGAGAGAGCAAAGGCAUUACUGAGGAGUUAAGGUUCGUCGCCAUGAGGCUUCAUAAUGUUAGUGGUAAAAAGUUAUCUGGUGACGCUGUGGAUUCAUCCAGCGAAGUUGAAGUAGAGGAGAAAGACGACGGAAAUUUGGUGUUGAGUGACGAUGAUAAUGAUGAGGAUGGGGAUGGUACACAGACUUGGCAACCGAGCUUGGAAGGGUUCCUUAAAUAUUUGGUCGAUAGUAAGCUCGUCUUCAGCACUGUGGAGCUAAUCGUUGAUGAAUCCAGCGACGUUGCUUAUAGUUACUUCAGAAAAUCAGGGUUGGAACGUUCAGAAUGUCUUGAAAAGGAUCUAGAAUGGUUCAGUGCACAGGGUAUUGUGAUACCUGAUCCGACCAGUUCAGGAAUUUCUUAUGCUAAGUAUCUGGAGGAACUUGCUGAGAGGAGUGCCCCUUUGUUCCUUUCCCAUUAUUAUAAUAUCAACUUUUCACAUAUAGCAGGUGGGCAAGUGAUAGCGAAACAGGUUUCUGAGAGACUCCUUGAAGGAAGAAAGCUUGAAUUUUAUACAUGGGAAGAGGAUGCAGAAGAAUUACUGAAAAACGUUCGUGAGAAGCUUAACAUGCUUGGAGAGCACUGGUCUCGGGAUGAGAAAAAUAAAUGUUUGAGAGAAGCAGUCAAGUCAUUCCGCUUUUUGGGAGAGAUAGUUCGACUGAUCAUCUUAUAAAUGCUAUGACUUUGAAGCUGUUCCCGGUAGGAGUUGACAAUGCACAGAAAAUGGCUCUCUUAUUCAAUCAAUCAAACUUGCAAUGAAUCUACAGAGUUGCCCCCAUUCAAGGGCUUCGAUACUCUGAUUGGUAAUCAGUGAUUUUGGCCAGUGGUGGCUGAAGACAUGGAGCCAGUGACCUUCCCCAACUUGAGGAGCUAACUCCAUUAUUUUCAACAUUCCAUCAAAUGCCAUCAGUAAUGCGCACUUGGUCAAUUAUCACUUUCACUUUGCCUAGUGGCUCAACAUCGUUCAAGACAGUGACACUCAGCACAAAAUCAAAUUGGCACUUUCAUUCUUGAUAUAGUUAAGAAUCUAUUGAAAAUACUAAAUAUUAGGUUCUAUAUUUCGUUUAUGUUCUGAGUUAUUAUAUUAAAUAUUUAGUCUUUAAAUUUUAAAAAACUUCAAUUACAUGUUUGAAAUCUAUAAUGUGCUUCUGCUUAAUAUUUCUUAUUAAUUCUAUUCAUAGAAUAUUGAGAUGACAUGUUCAUUAACUUAUAUAGCCAUUUGCUUCAUAUUAUAUUCUUCGAUAUAAAUAAAUCCUUGAAUUGAACCAUUAGCGUUCAAUCGACCUGAAAGGCCAUAAAAAGGCACUUCAAAGCUUUAGGAACUCAUCUAAUUUUAAUUGAAGUUUUCUAGAACAAUAUUAUGCACUUUAAAGCAUAUCAGGGAAAAUAUAUGGCAAUUCUUUUGUGGGAAAAAAAAAAAGAGUAGAAAAUACCUUUCAUGAUCAAUAUGUUGUGCUUUUGUUUUUUUUUUUUUUUCCUUUCUGGUGAGAAAUUUUGCCAAAAACAUAUGUUCAAGAGAUAUUUUGCUGAUAUUAAUUUGUUUAAGUUAUGUUUCGAAACUAUUAAUAGAACUCCAUUCUGAUCAUAUUUAAAAA